GAAUAGCGGCGCGAUUCGCCCUUCCUACGGGGGGCAGCAGUGGGGAAUAUUGCACAAUGGGCGCAAGCCUGAUGCAGCCAUGCCGCGUGUGUGAAGAAGGCCUUCGGGUUGUAAAGCACUUUCAGCGAGGAGGAAGGGUUCAGUGUUAAUAGCACUGUUCAUUGACGUUACUCGCAGAAGAAGCACCGGCUAACUCCGUGCCAGCAGCCGCGGUAAUACGGAGGGGUGCAAGCGUUAAUCGGAAUUACUGGGCGUAAAGCGCACGCAGGCGGUUUGUUAAGUCAGAUGUGAAAUCCCCGCGCUUAACGUGGGAACUGCAUUUGAAACUGGCAAGCUAGAGUCUUGUAGAGGGGGGUAGAAUUCCAGGUGUAGCGGUGAAAUGCGUAGAGAUCUGGAGGAAUACCGGAGGCGAAGGUGGCCACCUGGACCCCCACUGGACAAUCAAGUGACGCUCGGGGUGCAGCAAACGUGGGGAAAAAACAGGAUUACCAUCCCCGGGACGACCUCGAUUUUGAAGUUGUGUGCAUUUAGCAGGUUGUGGGCUUGUACCCGUGGCUUCCGGAGGCUAGGGCGAUUAAAGUCCGACCCGGCUGGGAGAGUACUGACCUCAAGGUUGAAACCUCAAAAUGGAUUUGACGGGGGGCCCGACACAAGCGGGUGGAAGCAUGUGGUUUAAAUCGAUGCAUCGCGAAGAAUCCUCUACCUUACUCUUGACAUCCGAAGAAUUUCGCUAGAGAUAUCUUAGUGCCUCUCCGGCACCUCUGAGAACAAGGUGCUGUCAUGGUCCGGACAUCAGCUUCAGGUUGACAAUGUGGCGUUAGAUCACGACGAUGCGAGCCAUUACUGUGUAGCACAGAGGAUGUGCAGACCUCAGAGAUACUGCUGUAUAAGCGGGAGACGUGGUGUUUAUUUCUCUAUGAUUUUCUAC
rnacentral:rRNA from 1 species